ACAUGCUGUUCUCCUUCCCCCCAGGGGCGUACAGAGAUGUGCCAGCAGCCAGCUGCUUCUGGGAGCAGCAUGGGUCUAUGGCAGGCAGACAGGCAACCUGCCUGAGCCCUGCUGCACCGUCGGCCAGGAGCCACCUGUGCUAAGCACCUCCCAGCCAGAGCCUGCACCUUGCAUUCCCCUUCUGCACCCCAACCUCCUGCCCCAGGUCAGAAUCCCCUCCUGCACCAAACUCCCUCCCAGAGCCCGCACCCCUCACGCUCUCCUGCACCCCAACAUUCUGCCCCAGCCUGGAGCCCCCUCCUGCACCCAAACUCCCUCCCAGAAAGAAACUAAUAUAACAGCUGUUCUAAGGAGCUGUAAACUCAUGCACCUCCAUCUCAGGCCAGGGUGUGCGUCUUUGAACUCCCUGCUGGGGGACUCUACGGAUACAAAGGCACCUGCAGAAAGACUGCAGUUUGAAAUUGUAUGAAAACACCCCUGCCAUAUGAGUCCAGAGGGGAUUAUGGAGCAAUAAGGAAGCUGUAAACUUGAUGGAAUCCUGGUCAGGAAUAACAUGAAGGAUCUUGUGAAGCAGCACGUUCCCUUAAGUACAUUGUAUACAACUAGCAACAAAGGUCAAAUCUGAAUCCAAAUGUGAAGGUUCAGGAAAGUGGUUCCAGUUCAAUAUGCAUGAAACGUGGGCAGCAAUGAAUGGUGACAAAAAUACAUCAAGUUCCUGUAAGAAAUCUUUUUUUUGUUAUUAUUUCAGUAAACUACUGUAGUGAUAGCUCUGGACCUUUAUAAUAUUAAUU